rnacentral:tRNA from 3 species
GUGUCUUUGUCCGAGCGGCUGAGGUAGCGGAUUGCAAACCCGUUUAGGUUGGUUCAACUCCAACAAGAUACUCCA